CGCAGACAAGCAGGCACCAAGCUACAACUUUCAUUAUUGAUAGAGACUUGGAACCUGCAACCCACAGAAGUCCCAAGAGUGCGGAUUUAUCCAUGGAAUUAUACCAAGAAUAAAUUAGACCAUGGACAUCAGAGGCACCACUCACAGGCAAAGAAGAAAAAGAAGGGAAAAAAAAAAGAAAGGAAAAAAGAAGGAUUGAGAUGGGACAAAAGACGGCGUAGCAGCAAGGAGCUUCUCCUGCAUCCACUUACUGAAGAAUGCGGAGUUCAAUCUUCAAAAUGGGAAAUCAACUUGUAUUUCUUACAGACUAGCAUUUUCUAUUGCAGAAAAACAAGUAAUAAAUGUUCUCCCAUGGUCUCCGAUUGCUGACCAUGUUUUAGAGCAAUUGAGAAUUUGUUAGGA
ensembl:lncRNA